UAAUGUAAGAAUUUCUUACAAAUAGUACUUGUUUAUAAAUGAUUUAUUUAUUAUUUUUUUGGGGGGAAUCU
rnacentral:tRNA from 1 species